UCUUUUCAAAACGAUUAUAAAAAUUAUUUAAAAUCUGAAAGUCUUCAAAAAACCAGAAUCUUACGAUGGCUAACCAAUUUCAAGAUAUUAGAUUUUUGUUACGUCGGAUCUCUCAGUUGAAUCAUAAGCCAAAGUUUUAGAAAUAAGGAUUCUUAAUGUAUAUAUAAAAAUUUUUCACAUACAUAUGUACGCAUUCAGAAGUAAAAGCUUCACCUUACCCAAAUAUUUAAAAAAUUAAUAUGCAAGAAACGUUUGACCAAAAGUGAAUAUAUUUGCUGGGUGUUGAUUGCAAAAGGAUUCUUCUGCCAACCGAAUUCACACGCAUAUUCUUUUGGAUACUUAAGAAGUGGUUUGUUAAAGAACACAUACCGUAAGUAAGUAUAUGGCAGACAAAGGGUGCAACCUCCACACUCGUGACACGAAGAAGAAUUUUAUUUUUUUUUAAAUAAAAAAAAUUUAUAUAAAAAACUGAAGUCUACCAAAAGGACAGUGUUUAAUGAACUCAUAGUCAUGAAUGUGUGUGAGAUGCAAUCCAGUAGGAAAUUCACUAAGGUGGGGUAAAAACUGAUUAGACAUUGGAAUACUGUCGCACAGCGAAGUCAAUUAAAAAGUCUCUGUCAAAUACGUGACUAAAAAUAUUUCUUAAGGGGAAAUUAAAUUCUACAAUAGCAAGUAAAAUACGCGUAAAAGGUGUGCAUAAGUAUGCUUGCCGCUUGACAUUUCGCGAUGCUGCACAAACACUUGACUCGGAAAUAAGUGUUGUGAAGCCGUCGAAGUUUCCACACAAAUAUUUUGCCAACAAUGUAAGCAGACAACUUAAAAUAUUAGCCAUUGCUUAAGUUCUAUUAAACAGGUGAAAGCUAAAAUCACAAUGAAAAUUAAAAGUACAACAAAAAUGUUAGCUUUGCAAAGAGUUGGCGGCAUACGAUGUUGUUGCUUGAUUUUGUAAAAAUUGUAAAAGUUAACUUGCCACAAAGCGUGUGUAAAGAGCGUGCAACAAACACCCGAGUUGACAUUAAUUUUGCGUGUAACAUUGAGUUUUAUGAUACUCAUAAAUAGGAGUACGCAACUCUUCUGCCGAUUGUAUGUGUAUGAAGAAAGAACGUUUACAACAGUUCAAGGUGGGGGAGGUAAACUCACAGUCGUACAAAUUAUAAUACGGAACAGUGUUGGGUGGUAGUGGGGCUGCCAAUGAAUUUAGCUUGUCGUCAGAAACUAAUUGUUGCUUGUGCGUAGAGUAAUGUUUGGCUUGAUAAUAUAAUGUAACUGUUGUAAUAACAACAAAAAAAAAACAACGUAUUAUAAUACAACGAAUAUGGAAGAAGGGUUGAAGUGCAACAGCUUGCGGUAAUUUUCAACUUUGUGAAACAAGUGUUUUCUCAUUUUGUAGAAUUUAAUGAGCGCAACAUUCUCGACAAUAUUCUUAUUUUGGGUGGGAGUGACUGAUUUGACUCAAGGCAGCGCAUAAGAGCAGGUAUUAGAGUUGGGCUCCGGUAUACCGCACCUACAAUAUAGACUUGUGGUUUUUAAAGGGAAUACAUUCUUCGACAGCCGCUGCUUGAUCUAUACUCAGUUUGGUUUGCCAUACCAUAACGAACAGAGGUUUGCAAAUCGUGCAAAUUAAUUAACAAAAUAGUGUUCUGGAGCGGAGUAUCGAAAAAGACCCGAAUAAGAUCCCCGCCGUCGGGAGUAGAAAGAAAUGAUAACGUUAUAGAUUAAUUAUUAAUAUUUUUUUUUGGCCUUUUCUAUGGUUUCAACAAUACUGGGCUACCCAUACAGCUAAUGAAACAAUCAAUCACAGAAAAAAAAAAUAAAUUAAAUUAAUUAUGAAUCCGAAGGAUCUCAAGCACAGAAGCCCAUCAUCCUUCGUGCUAAAAUCAUUAAAAAUGAUGCAUCAAUGAAAUUUCUCUUACGGACUAUUGAAGAGAAGUUGUUUCAAAUGAAUACGAAAACAAUUUCAAUUGAAUGUCUUUUAAUAAAAAGGAAUGCUGGGCUGCUACACUUUUAGAUAAACCGGGAAUCGUUAACAAUAUUUUACCAGGUGAGCGAAUUUGGAGAAUCUUAACAUUUAUCUUCAGGAGCAGCAAGGCAGAAGCUUUAAGGCGAAUUUGCUAUGAAAAGCGUAUUAACUGUAUUACAAACAGGCCGUGGUAAUUGGAGUUCGGAGGUAAGGAUUCCUCAUUAUCCAUAUGCCUACCUUGCUAUGGGCAAUGUUAGGGUUUGAUGGUCUUUCCAAGAUACUGAUGUCAAGGUAAUUGAUGUAAUGAGGAGGAAUGAUGAAAGAAUGAAGCAUCGAACUGCUACGACUGUAAAGCCUAAUUGAUGGGAGAUUCCACAUCACAACGACCUCAAUCUGGCUUAAGAAAAAUCGAUAACUUCACCUAAAAUUUAUGCGAUCACUAUGAAAAGUAUCAUUGUAAUCAUGUAACAAUAUUUGUUGUUUUUCUUAACAAACCAAAAACAAAUUUUAUGUGGGAACCAGCCGUCAAAUGCGUGGCUUGUAAGGUGAGCGCCAACCAAAUGUUACACGCUUAAUCACAUACUCGCAUGUCGGCAAGCAGAGCAAAACCAAAAUGAGGCACAGAAAUGCUUAUGUUAAGAAGAAAUCCGAAGGGAGUUGCACUCAGUAUGUUCACAGCCAAGAAACAGCAUGGAAGUUUAAAAUCACUUGUUGUGGAGUAAACAUUUGUAUAUUAUGCACGAGUAUGUAGCUAAGCUAGGAAGUUAUGUAGAUGCUCUGGUGUAGGCAGUAUGAGUUGACUUGUUUGUUUGAUAAUAAAGCAGCAAUAAUAGCAAGAACAAUCACCAAUACUCGCACUCGUUUGUAGAUGACACCCAAACAACGGUUUGCCUUCAGCGCACAUACUCGAAUAUUUUCAACUUGUUACAGUGUUGAACUCUCGAGGCAUUUGUUUCUGCUAUUGGGUGGCCAGGCGUAACUCCAUGUCAUUGUCGUCAAAACACACAACGAAGGACGAAGUUCGAAAGUUGCUUUUGUAAACAACAAAUAAACGAUGACUGGAGUGAGCCAGUCAUUUUCAAUGUGAGUUUCCGCCUGCAGUGCACAGUGUUGUAGUUUCCUAAGUCGAAAACAGAGUGUAAACUCAGGUGUUGAGAAGUUUUUUUUUAACUUAUCGUAGGUAAUAUAAAAAAGGAUAAAAAAGAUUUUUGUGAACUCAAAAUAAAAGCGUACAAUUAUCAU